GGAGUCUAAAGGAAAAACAAGUGUCAAUGUGGGGGCCUGGUGGCCCCACUAGAGAAUGAGGAAGAAUGCAAAGUCUGAGAGGUAUGCAGGCUUAGCAUCACUCCUCUGCUUUCAUAUUGCAAUUUAUAAAAUCACUCUUCAGUAUAAUUCUUCCCAAAGAGGAAAGUGAUCUGUGCACAUCACCAAAGACUGCAAGGAUCCUUGUCACUACUAGUCUGUGGUAUUCCUCA
rnacentral:lncRNA from 1 species